rnacentral:rRNA from 1 species
GGAUCCAGACUUUGAUUAUGGCUCAGAUUGAACGCUGGCGGCGUGCCUAACACAUGCAAGUCGAACGCGAAAGUUUCUUCGGAAAUGAGUAGAGUGGCGCACGGGUGAGUAACGCGUGGAUUAUCUACCUAUUGGUACGGGACAACAGUUGGAAACGACUGCUAAUACCGUAUAAGCUGGUAACGGGAAAGGGGGCCUCUUCUUGAAAGCUCUCGCCAGUAGAUGAGUCCGCGUUUCAUUAGCUAGACGGUGGGGUAACGGCCUACCGUGGCAACGAUGAAUAGCAGGCCUGAGAGGGUGGCCUGCCACACUGGGACUGGAACACGGCCCAGACUCCUACGGGAGGCAGCAGUGGGGAAUAUUGCGCAAUGGACGAAAGUCUGACGCAGCGACGCCGCGUGGAGGAUGAAGGUUUUCGGAUCGUAAACUCCUGUCAAGAGGGAAGAAACCUAUCAAAAAUAAUACUUUUGGUAAUUGACGGUACCUCUAGAGGAAGCACCGGCUAAUUCAGUGCCAGCAGCCGCGG